rnacentral:rRNA from 1 species
GCUACGGGUGGCAGCAGUGAGGAAUAUUGGUCAAUGGGCGCGAGUCUGAACCAGCCAAGUAGCGUGAAGGAUGACUGCCCUACGGGUUGUAAACUUCUUUUAUAAAGGAAUAAAGUGAGGCUCGUGUGCCUUUUUGUAUGUGUUUUAUGAGUAAGGAUCGGUGAACUCCGUGUCCGAAGCGGCGGUAAUACGGAGGAUCCGAGCGUGAUCCGGAGUUAUUGGGUUUAAAGGGAGCGUAGAUGGGUGGUUAAGUCACUUGUGAAAGUUUGCGGCUCAACCGUAAAAUUGCAAUGGAUACUGGCAGCCUUGAGUACAGAUGAGGUAGGCGGAAUUCGUGGUGUAGCGGUGAAAUGCUUAGAUAUCACGAAGAACUCCGAUUGCGAAGGCAGCCUACUAAACUGCCACUGACAUUGAUGCUCGAAAGUGUGGGUAUCAAACAGGAUUAGAUACCCUUGUAGUC